rnacentral:rRNA from 1 species
UACAUGUGGGGCAAGCGUUGUUCGGAAUUACUGGGCAUAAAGGGUGCGUAGGUGGUUUGUUAAGUCAGGGGUGAAAUCCCGCGGCCCAACCGUGGAACUGCCUUUGAUACUGGCGAACUUGAGUGCGUGAGGGGUAGGGGGAACGAGCAGUGUAGCGGUGAAAUGCGUAGAUAUUGCUCGGAAGGCCAGAGCCGAAGGGGCCCUACUGGUGCGCAACUGACACUGAGGCACGAAAGCAUGGGGAGCGAACAGG